UUUAACUAAGGUCGGGGUAGCAGUAGAAACGUUUUUGUUAGAAGCAGUCACACCUAGUUAUCCAAAUUCCCUACCCCAGGCCUGUGAUCUCUGACGGGUACAAGCAAGAAUCCAAGAUGUGUAGCCCCUGCUGCUCGCCAUGCUGCAAUGACUGCUGCAGUCCCUGCUGCGGUCCCUGCUGUAGUCCCUGCUGCAGUCCCUGUUGCAGUCCCUGCUGCAGUCCCUGCUGCGGUCCUUGCUGUGGUCCCUGCUGCGGUCCUUGCUGCGGCCCCUGCUGCGGCCCUUGCUGCAGUCCAUGCUGCUGCGGUCCGUGCAAUAAGUGCUGCAACCCCUGCAACUCCUGCAACUCCUGCAAUCCCUGCAACAACUGUAACAACUGCAACUCCUGCAACUCCUGCAAUUCCUGUUGCAGCCCAUGCUGCAACCCCUGCUGUAACCCCUGUUGUAAUCCCUGCUGCGGCCCAUGUUGUAGCCCUUGUUGCAACCCCUGCUGCAGCCCGUGCUGCAGCCCGUGCUGCAACCCCUGCUGCAACCCCUGUGGUGGGUCCAAGUGCAAGUGAUCUCCCGCAAUCAAAAUGGAUUCUGAAAUAGCGACCCGAGUUAGGAGGCAGACACAGACGUCACCACAAGUUCACAGCACCCGUUAGAGAGGCAACUUGGCCCAAAUGUAGACAUCAACUGAGGCAAUCAAAUACAAGACAAGCCAACAGCA